AACGAACGCUGGCGGCAGGCUUAACACAUGCAAGUCGAGCGGGCCCUUCGGGGUCAGCGGCGGACGGGUUAGUAACGCGUGGGAACGUGCCUUCUGCUCUGGAAUAGCCCUGGGAAACUGGGGGUAAUACCGGAUGUGCCCUGAGGGGGAAAGGUUUAUCUGGCAGGAGAUCGGCCCGCGUCUGAUUAGGUAGUUGGUGUGGUAAUGGCGCACCAAGCCGACGAUCGGUAGCUGGUUUGAGAGGAUGAUCAGCAACACUGGGACUGAGACACGGCCCAGACUCCUACGGGAGGCAGCAGUGGGGAAUCUUAGACAAUGGGGGCAACCCUGAUCUAGCCAUGCCGCGUGGGUGAUGAAGGCCUUAGGGUCGUAAAGCCCUUUCGCUGGGGAAGAUAAUGACGGUACCCAGUAAAGAAGCCCCGGCUAACUCCGUGCCAGCCGCCGCCGUAACAC
rnacentral:rRNA from 1 species